rnacentral:rRNA from 1 species
GUGGGGAAUAUUGGACAAUGGGCGCAAGCCUGAUCCAGCAAUGCCGCGUGGGUGAAGAAGGUCUUCGGAUCGUAAAGCCCUUUCGACAGGGACGAUGAUGACGGUACCUGUAGAAGAAGCCCCGGCUAACUUCGUGCCAGCAGCCGCGGUAAUACGAAGGGGGCUAGCGUUACUCGGAAUUACUGGGCGUAAAGGGCGCGUAGGCGGCUCUGUUAGUCAGGCGUGAAAUUCCUGGGCUUAACCUGGGGACUGCGCUUGAUACUGCAGGGCUUGAGGCCGAGAGAGGGUGGUGGAAUUCCCAGUGUAGAGGUGAAAUUCGUAGAUAUUGGGAAGAACACCGGUGGCGAAGGCGACCACCUGGCUCGGUUCUGACGCUGAGGCGCGACAGCGUGGGGAGCAAACAGGAUUAGAACCCGGGUAGUCC